rnacentral:rRNA from 1 species
GCAGAGUGCUUGCACAAAGCGGAUAUGGAUUUUCACUUAGUGGCGCAAGGGUGAGUAACACGUGGGUAAUCUGCCUUUAAGACUGGGAUAACAAUUGGAAACGAUUGCUAAUACCGGAUGAGAUGCAUGGCACAAAGCUAUGUAGUAAAAGAAGCCUUUAAAGCUUUACUUAAAGAUGAGCCUGCGGCGCAUUAGCUAGUUGGUAAGGUAAUGGCUUACCAAGGCAACGAUGCGUAGCCGAACUGAGAGGUUGAUCGGCCACAUUGGGACUGAGACACGGCCCAAACUCCUAUGGGAGACAGCAGUUAGGAAUAUUCGUCAAUGGGGGAAACCCUGAACGAGCAAUGCCGCGUGAAUGAUGACGGUCCUCUGGAUUGUAAAAUUCUGUUGUUGAGGAAGAACUGCCAAUAUAGGAAAUGAUAUUGGCUUGACGGUACUCUUCAAGAAAGCUCCGGCUAACUACGUGCCAGCAGCCGCGGUAAUACGUAGGGAGCAAGCGUUAUCCGAAUUUAUUGGGUGUAAAGC